rnacentral:misc_RNA from 1 species
AAGUCGUAACAAGGUUUCCGUAGGUGAACCUGCGGAAGGAUCAUUAACACGUUAUCCACGUAUCAACCAAAGUGAACCGUUUUCAAUAUCUCCCUUUAUAAAUAAAUGAGCUGAGCCAACACGCGGGUAUGUCUGGGUCCCGAAAGGGAUAACUGCGUGUGCGCAAACUGAGGGUCACACCUCGACGGCUGUAUUAUUGUAAAGGCUAUAACAUCUUGUCAUCAAUGCUUCCACGUCUGCAAGUGAUGAUAGGAGACCCCCCCCUCAUAACCUAUUUAACCCCCUUUUUGCUAGUUGACUUUUAUAUGUUGUUCUUUGCGCAAGCAUGGAGCACACGUUUAUUUAUUUGAACGUUAAAAAUACAACUCUUAGCAAUGGAUAUCUUGGUUCUC